CUUUAAUCCCGAUGGCAGCGUGUAUCCUUUAUUGCCAGGGUUUGGCAAUAAAGAUACUGCGUACAGCGGGGCGACUU
rnacentral:sRNA from 1 species